rnacentral:rRNA from 1 species
GGCCUGGUUGUCCGGUCCGCCGAAAGGCGUGUACUGGACCGACUGGGCCUUUCCUUCUGGGGAACCAGUAUGCUCUUUAUUGAGUGUGCUGGGGAUCCAGGACUUUUACUUUGAAAAAAUUAGAGUGUUUAAAGCAGGCAUAUGCUUGAAUACAUUAGCAUGGAAUAAUAGAAUAGGACU